AACAAGGUUUCCGUAGGUGAACCUGCGGAAGGAUCAUUAAUGA
rnacentral:rRNA from 1 species